rnacentral:lncRNA from 1 species
GCUGAGCGGCCCUCUAGGUGUUCUUUGCUGGGGCAGGGGAGUUAGCAGGGAGGAAGUGGAGAGAACUGGGAGAGUUGAGACCCUCCUUCUGAGCGUUAAGCUGCAUGUAGAUAAUAUCUGCAGGUGUGGCACAAUUGAAAAGGCAGUGGCUUUCAGGCUAGUCACUGCACGGACUAGUAAGGCAGCUCUCUUGCUCCCAGCACCGUGCAUCUGAUUCUCCGUUCUCAGGGACCACCUGACAUGGUUAAACAGCCCUGGCUUAACGUUCCAGACACUGCUGCCAAUACUUGCGGCUGUUAGUUCCUGAUUUCUGCUUAAGUGUUUCAACAGCACACCGUGGGACAAUAGUAACAGGGCCAAAGGAAUACAUCUUCAACAUGUACAUAAAUUCCACCAAGUGGCUGCAUGGAAAAGCAAAAAUAAAGAAGGAGUUAGCUACACCUGAAAGGUUCUUCUUUAUGAACAAGCUUCUGUAACAAGUGCCCAGACCUUGGCACAACUGACUCCAUGAUUGAAGUACCAUUCAGGCCAUUAAACUCAGCACAUAGAUGGUACCACCUGCCAAAAUGAAAACAAAGACCUGAUCCAUCAAAGUCCAUAGUGAUGGAAAUGCCCCUAAAUGACUAACCUUGCUCUUUUUUACUUCUUUAAUUCUGCUUCUGACUAAAUGUGCUUGUUAACUGAAGUGUGUCAACCCGGGAUUUUUUUUUUUUCAUAAAGGCUUGGUGGUACACUGGGAUCCUGAAUACCAAGUAUGCUCUCCAGCCAGCUGAUAAAGAUUUCUAUUGGCUUAAA